UUUAGGCCCAAAAUGAGCACCUGCAACGGCAGCAGAUCGACCUCUAGGCUAACCUACUAAGAGCCCAAAAGAAGGCCAUCAAGGACUCAAGUCGUACCAGACGAGUGGAAAGAUGCCUGUUCGACGAGGAAUCAGCAUCCGCUUCCAUGCCUCGUCCUAGCAACACCGUUCCCCACUUCGAUCCUGAGAGCACCAGUUCUGAAGAAAUCGUCCCUUCCGGUUGUGGCUCACCCAAAAGAAAGACCAUGUUACUGAGCCUGACAACCAAACGUCGGACAAACCUCACAUCGUUCCCACUCAAAA
rnacentral:lncRNA from 1 species